rnacentral:tRNA from 1 species
GGAUGGAUGCCCGAGUGGUUUAAGGGACCGGUCUUGAAAACCGGCGACGGGGUAACUCGUCCGGGGGUUCAAAUCCCUCUCCAUCCG